UGGGGAAUAUUGCACAAUGGGCGCAAGCCUGAUGCAGCGACGCCGCGUGAAGGAUGAAGGUUUUCGGAUCGUAAACUUCUAUCAGCAGGGAGGAACCAAAUGACGGUACCUGACUAAGAAGCCCCGGCUAACUACGUGCCAGCAGCCGCGGUAAUACGUAGGGGGCAAGCGUUAUCCGGAUUUACUGGGUGUAAAGGGUGCGUAGGUGGCAAUGCAAGUCAGAUGUGAAAUUUCGGGGCUCAACCCCGAAGCUGCAUCUGAAACUGCGUAGCUAGAGUGCAGGAGAGGAAAGCGGAAUUCCGAGUGUAGCGGUGAAAUGCGUAGAGAUUCGGAGGAACACCAGUAGCGAAGGCGGCUUUCUGGACUGUAACUGACACUGAGGCACGAAAGCGUGGGGAGCGAACA
rnacentral:rRNA from 2 species